AUGUUUCCAGCUACACUUAUUGGCCCUCAGGAGACAAUAUCCAGACUGGAUUUCUUGGUGAGAAAUGCCCCUUGGAGAUCUCCUGCAGUCACUAGACGCAGAAUCGUUUCUCCAGGGAGUGAGCUGGCCCUGCUCUCAGCUCUGAGCCUUCCCAGCUUCUGAGGCAAGACCCCAGAUUCAGGCCCCAGACUCCCAGAGCUUUCUGUCAUCAACUUCUCACUUGAAGUUCUGCCUUUAGUGCCAGGAACACAGCAAAUGAUACAUUCAGCUCAGCAUAGCUGGCUGCCCAGGAACAAACCUUUCUGUUUACCUGAAAGCUUGCCUGGUGUUGAAGGUUGCAAAUAAAAAGUCACUCUUUUGAAGAUAAAUACCAUUUUGAGUCAUUUCUUUCAGGAGCUAUUUCAGCCAGGUGUUCCCAUUGCCAUGGAGUACAGGAGACUCAGCUGACAGACCUGUGAGGAUGUAAGGAAACUUGCCAGGGAUGUGAAUCUAAGAUCAUUAUUCUUGAUCAGCCUGGGAAUGAAUAGAAAAUGAGUCAGAGGCUCCCAUGAAGCACAUGGCAACAGGAAUGGAACCAAAAUGCCUAUCUUCAAGGUAGCUCUUGAUUGAGCUAAGCUUUUUGCUCUUUCAAAGCUUGUUUUGGUCCAAAACUAUUUCUGAUGGAAAGUAGCAUUUAUACACCAGAAAAAGAGCAAUUGACAUUUCUUUUUACAUUCCAC
ensembl:lincRNA